rnacentral:rRNA from 1 species
UACGUAGGGUGCAAGCGUUGUCCGGAAUUAUUGGGCGUAAAGAGCUCGUAGGCGGUUUGUCACGUCGGCUGUGAAAACCUGGGGCUCAACUCCGGGACUGCAGCCGAUACGGGCAGACUAGAAUUCGGUAGGGGAGACUGGAAUUCCUGGUGUAGCGGUGAAAUGCGCAGAUAUCAGGAGGAACACCGGUGGCGAAGGCGGGUCUCUGGGCCGAUAUUGACGCUGAGGAGCGAAAGCGUGGGGAGCGAACAGG